CCCCCGCCGCCCGAUUCUGCCCUCCCUUUUCUCCGCUUCCCUCUUGGCAGAGGUGCCAAAGUGGGCAGGCAGACCGAGGCAAUCGCAUCACGGGGCAGAGCAGAGGGCGAACCAAAAGCUGGCGAAUUGAUCAUGUGUGUGUUUGUGUUUUGGUCUGUCCUCGCUCUCUUUCUGUAUGUGUCUGUUCCUAAGUUAGACUCUGCUUUGGUGACACGCAGCUGCAAGUAAGGACUGUGUGAGAGCAGACGUCCCUCUGUUACUCUCUGUACGGACGGACGUACUCACGCCAGUAGGAGGGGAUUGUGGGAAAGGGGGUGUAGCUCUCAGAGGGUGCGCUCUACUCCUCUCGCUUCCCUUCUUCCCGCCAUCACGGCCCUCUUUUCAGCCAGUCGUCCGGCCCAGCCAGCCCGUCCGCCCGCCCGCCUCACCACAUACAGGCCUCAGGUAUUUUUAUUUUUUAUUUUUUUGCCUCGAUCCCUGCGACAACCUCUUCUCGUCUUACUUACUGUCCUGCAACGUAUCUCCUGCAGUUAUCUCUCACCUUCUUUUCUGUUCUCCAUCAUGGUCUUCCUCCCGUAAAACGUGUUUUCCGUCGCUGGUUGCCACACCGCACCGUGCUCGCCACCAUUUUGGCCAAAUGGACAUAGCGAGAGAAACUUUUCCUUGAGCCGAGAGUUCAACUCCCUCCUGACCAUCCUUUUACUACUCCCUACUUUGUCUCUUCUUCCUCCUCCCUCCCCAUUGCUCCAGCAGGCUCUGGCACACAGGCUCUGAUACACAGUCUCUUUGUGGUUGUCUGUGCUGAACAGGUGUCUAUUUGGAGGCUGGCGUUAGGAAUGGCAGGCCGUCUUGGUCACGUCUGACCCAAGAGGGUCGACUCAGCUAGACAGCCCCGGUCAGUAAAAGUUAACCGCUGAUCAACCAGUGGAAAAUCUCGUUCCUCGCCGCCAUUUUGAUAGCUAGCACAAAAAUAAUGACCCUGCACAUUAUUCCACUGCAAACUUGUGUGCACUGUCUCAAUGGUACAACUGAGAAGUGGCACCAGACUCAACAACACGUGCAUUUGUGCAAACAUGCGCUUAGUUUUAUCUCUCUGAAAUGCAGGGGUGUGGCAGUUCGCUAAAGGUCGGGUGUUUGUCCUGAAACAUUAACUCAGUCGAUAACAUAUAAAUAUCUAUGACACAGUUACAGAUGAAGAGAAACAUGCAGUAAUGAAAAUGAGUUCAAGUCGAUACUGGUAUGUCAAAAAGACUGCAAGUUCUUCUUUUUAGCUGUUAACAGUAAAGCAAAAGAUCAUCUGCUUUCAUAAUGAAAAAAAUAUCCUUUAUACACAGAGUCAUGUCUGUUUGUCUACUUCCUAAAAAUAGCCAUGAGAUUAAUGUUUAACUAUUAAGAACACCAAGACACGUCAGACACCAGAAUAAGUUAAAAACGUGCAAAUACAGAUGCACGUUUUUAACGUGCAUCAGGAAAAGUUAAUUAACAAACAGCUUUUCUAUACUUACUUGUAGAACUAUAACGAAGUAUCGACAUGCAAAGUUUAGACUGUAUUUGAAUAUCCUAUUACCUUACUGUAUCUAGGUCUAAAUAGGGGUUGGCGUUAAAAUGGCGCCUACAUGCCACGUGUAAACACGAGCAGACCCUUUCAACAUGCCCCUCACAAUUCGUGGUUAAGCUGUUGCCAGUUUCUUUUCAUCAGGUUUUGCUAUUUCACUUUGCUUUGCAAUAAUUUAGGCUGCAAACUAAUGCUCACAAAUGUUAGCUAGCUUAUCAAUAAAAGAAACACUUUCAUCGGGGCAACUGAAAUAAGAGGAUCAUUUUUAAAAAGUAGUUUGAGAAAAAUAGAGAACAAGAGUUACAGUAGAGAGGCAGAAAGAGAGAGGUAGGAGUGGGAGAGCUCUUUCCCCGCCCCUCUCUUAUCCUCAGAUGAACUUAUCGUGUUGCCUCAUAAUGUUUCUGAGCUUUUUUCUCCUAGAGGCAGUCAGGCUAACUUCCUGCAUUCAGCCUCAGCUCAGUUGAUUGGCUGAUAUCUUGGCUGACCGGCCACAGUUUGCAGCGAGGCAACAGGAAGUUUUUCUUCUCAUGCAGGAAGCUGCAGCUGUUUCAUCCUGACAUACACCACUUUGCACUUUUGCACGCUUCUGAAAAAAAAAAAAAAAAAAA